GUAGGGAAUAUUGGGCAAUGGAUGCAAGUCUGACCCAGCCAUCCCGCGUGCCGGAAGAAGGUCCUCAGGGUUGUAAACGGCUUUUGACGGUGAAGAAUCGACAGGAUGCGUCCUGUUUUGACGGUAGCCGUUGAAUAAGCACCGGCUAACUCCGUGCCAGCAGCCGCGGUAAUACGGAGGGUGCGAGCGUUGUACGGAUUUAUUGGGUUUAAAGGGUGCGUAGGCUGGAAGGUCAGUAAGCGGUGAAAAGCUGUCGCUUAACGAUAGUCUUGACGCAGAUACUUCCUUUCUUGUAUGAGGAGGAGGCAACUGGAACGGAUGGUGUAGCGGUGAAAUGCAUAGAUAUCAUCCAGAACACCGAUUGCGAAGGCAGGUGGCUGUACCUUAAUCGACGCUGAUGCACGAAAGCAUGGGGAGCAAACAGGAUUAGAAACCCGGGUAGUCC
rnacentral:rRNA from 1 species